GAUGAACGCUGGCGGCGUGCCUAAUACAUGCAAGUCGAGCGAACGGACGAGAAGCUUGCUUCUCUGAUGUUAGCGGCGGACGGGUGAGUAACACGUGGAUAACCUACCUAUAAGACUGGGAUAACUUCGGGAAACCGGAGCUAAUACCGGAUAAUAUUUUGAACCGCAUGGUUCAAAAGUGAAAGACGGUCUUGCUGUCACUUAUAGAUGGAUCCGCGCUGCAUUAGCUAGUUGGUAAGGUAACGGCUUACCAAGGCAACGAUGCAUAGCCGACCUGAGAGGGUGAUCGGCCACACUGGAACUGAGACACGGUCCAGACUCCUACGGGAGGCAGCAGUAGGGAACCUUCCGCAAUGGGCGAAAGCCUGACGGAGCAACGCCGCGUGAGUGAUGAAGGUCUUCGGAUCGUAAAACUCUGUUAUUAGGGAAGAACAUACGUGUAAGUAACUGUGCACAUCUUGACGGUACCUAAUCAGAAAGCCACGGCUAACUACGUG
rnacentral:rRNA from 1 species